rnacentral:lncRNA from 1 species
CCCAGUCGCAGGCGUUGAAGAGGUGGCCAUCGGGGUCGUAGCACACCAGAGGGUUCUUGUUGAAGGCCACGGUGAGGUCGAAGCCGCGCAGAGAGCCAUUGGCUGCCAGUGGGCAGGAGUUGGCCACAUGCACCAUGAAGGCACCUGCCCCCCGCACUCCCAGCAGCAGCCCCAAUAGCACCAACAUCGCGGAGGGGGGAGCGGGGGGGGGAGGGGGGCGGCCCCUCAGCUCCCU